AUUGAACGCUGGCGGCAGGCCUAACACAUGCAAGUCGAGCGGAUGAAGGGAGCUUGCUCCUGGAUUCAGCGGCGGACGGGUGAGUAAUGCCUAGGAAUCUGCCUUGUAGUGGGGGGAUAACGUCCGUAAACGGGCGCUAAUACCUCAUACGUCCUGAGGUAGACAGUGGGGGAUCUUCGGACCUCACGCUAUCAGAUGAGCCUAGGUCGGAUUAGCUAGUUGGUGGGGUAAUGGCCUACCAAGGCGACGAUCCGUAACUGGUCUGAGAGGAUGAUCAGUCACACUGGAACUGAGACACGGUCCAGACUCCUACGGGAGGCAGCAGUGGGGAAUAUUGGACAAUGGGCGAAAGCCUGAUCCAGCCAUGCCGCGUGUGUGAAGAAGGUCUUCGGAUUGUAAAGCACUUUAAGUUGGGAGGAAGGGCAGUAAGUUAAUACCUUGCUGUUUUGACGUUACCAACAGAAUAAGCACCGGCUAACUUCGUG
rnacentral:rRNA from 1 species